AUAAUUAAAAGCCAAUGGCAGCC
rnacentral:siRNA from 1 species